CAGAUCCGUUCAGUAGUUUGGAAGAUGCAGUUUAAUGCAGAUUCCGCAGAACAUAUACAGGCUAUAUGAAAAAUAAUUACUGUAUAAUGUGUCCCCUGUUGUAUAGUUUAAAACUACUGAACGAUGUCUCUGUGCACCAAAUACCGGCGAGAUGGCACCGUGUAGAAUAGUCCAAACAGUGUCUGUGAGUUAAAAUGGCCGCCAUCCAUUGUUCUCACCAUGUGCUUCAUCCAUUGUUCUCACCAUGUGCC